UUACCUGGUCCGGACAUCAAAAGGAUAGACAGACUGCCAGAUCUUUCUUGAUAUGGUGAUUGGUGGUGCAUGGCCGUUCUUAGUUCGUGGAGUGAUCUGUCAGGCCAAUUCCGGUAACGAACGAGACCACAUUCUCCAUUUGACGAGCCGGGGAAGGUACUGACAUUGGGUAUUUUUGUUCACAAAGGUCCCUGGUGUUAGCAUUGUAGGCAUCGUAGGGUGCUCAGAGUGUAUCGGUUGAGGUGGCAACACUGAGGUCGGUGCAUUCGGGGUUACAUCUGCGCUCCCUCCGGCUUAGCAGUGUACGUCUUGCAAAAGAUGUGCAUUGUAUCAUGGAGAGACAACGGAAAAUAUUUUAAAAAUCCGAGGAAGUGUGGCUAUAACAGGUCUGUGAUGCCCUUAGAUGUUCAGGGCUGCACGCGGCUACAAU
rnacentral:rRNA from 1 species